ACGGAAGGCAGCAGUGAGGAAUAUUGGUCAAUGGACGGAAGUCUGAACCAGCCAAGUCGCGUGCGGGAUGAAGGCCCUACGGGUCGUAAACCGCUUUUGUACGGGGAUAAAGUCACCCACGUGUGGGUGUUUGUAGGUACCGUAAGAAUAAGGAUCGGCUAACUCCGUGCCAGCAGCCGCGGUAAUACGGAGGAUCCGAGCGUUAUCCGGAUUUAUUGGGUUUAAAGGGUGCGCAGGCGGGCUGCUAAGUCUCCGGUGAAAUGUCAGGGCUCAACCUUGGCACUGCCGGAGAUACUGGCGGCCUUGAGAGUGGCGGAGGUAUCCGGAAUGUGUGGUGUAGCGGUGAAAUGCUUAGAUAUGUCACAGAACCCCGAUUGCGAAGGCAGCUUACCAGCAUACAACUGACGCUGAGGCACGAAAGCGUGGGUAUCAAACAGGAUUAGAUACCCUGGUA
rnacentral:rRNA from 2 species